UACGUAGGUGGCAAGCGUUGUCCGGAAUUAUUGGGCGUAAAGCGCGCGCAGGCGGUCCUUUAAGUCUGAUGUGAAAGCCCACGGCUCAACCGUGGAGGGUCAUUGGAAACUGGGGGACUUGAGUACAGAAGAGAAGAGUGGAAUUCCACGUGUAGCGGUGAAAUGCGUAGAGAUGUGGAGGAACACCAGUGGCGAAGGCGACUCUUGGUCUGUAACUGACGCUGAGGCGCGAAGCGUGGGAGCAACAGG
rnacentral:rRNA from 1 species